AGGGUUCGAUUCUGGCUCAGGAUGAACGCUGGCGGCGUGCCUAACACAUGCAAGUCGAACGAAUAACCCGCCUUCGGGCGGUCAUAGAGUGGCGAACGGGUGAGUAACACGUGACCAACCUUCCCCCCGCAUGGGGAUAACCGGGCGAAAGCCCGGCUAAUACCCAAUACUCCGGGCCCUCCGCAUGGAGGGGCCGGGAAAGCCCAGGCGGCGGGGGAUGGGGUCGCGGCCCAUUAGGUAGACGGCGGGGUAACGGCCCACCGUGCCCGCGAUGGGUAGCCGGACUGAGAGGUCGAUCGGCCACAUUGGGACUGAGAUACGGCCCAGACUCCUACGGGAGGCAGCAGUGGGGAAUUUUGCGCAAUGGGGGAAACCCUGACGCCAGCAACGCCGCGUGCGGGAUGAAGGCCCUAGGGUUGUAAACCGCUUUCAGCAGGGAAGAAACAUGACGGUACCUGCAGAAGAAGCUCCGGCUAACUACGUGCCAGCCGCCGC
rnacentral:rRNA from 1 species